CAGUCGCCGCGGUAAUACGAAGGGGGCUAGCGUUGUUCGGAUUUACUGGGCGUAAAGGGCGCGUAGGCGGACUGAUAAGUCAGGGGUGAAAUCCCAAGGCUCAACCUUGGAACUGCCUUUGAUACUGUUUGUCUUGAGUUCGAGAGAGGUAAGUGGAACUGCGAGUGUAGAGGUGAAAUUCGUAGAUAUUCGCAAGAACACCAGUGGCGAAGGCGGCUUACUGGCUCGAAACUGACGCUGAGGCGCGAAAGCGUGGGGAGCAAACAGGAUUAGAUACCCCAGUAGUCCCUGUCUCUUAUAC
rnacentral:rRNA from 1 species